rnacentral:rRNA from 1 species
GACGAACGCUGGCGGCGUGCUUAACACAUGCAAGUCGAGCGGUAAGGCCCUUCGGGGUACACGAGCGGCGAACGGGUGAGUAACACGUGGGUGAUCUGCCUCGCACUUCGGGAUAAGCCUGGGAAACUGGGUCUAAUACCGGAUAUGACCACGGGCUGCAUGGUUUGUGGUGGAAAGAUUUAUCGGUGCGAGAUGGGCCCGCGGCCUAUCAGCUUGUUGGCGGGGUAACGGCCCACCAAGGCGACGACGGGUAGCCGACCUGAGAGGGUGACCGGCCACACUGGGACUGAGACACGGCCCAGACUCCUACGGGAGGCAGCAGUGGGGAAUAUUGCACAAUGGGCGAAAGCCUGAUGCAGCGACGCCGCGUGAGGGAUGACGGCCUUCGGGUUGUAAACCUCUUUCGACAGGGACGAAGCGCAAGUGACGGUACCUGUAGAAGAAGCACCGGCCAACUACGUGCCAGCAGCCGCGGUAAUACGUAGGGUGCGAGCGUUGUCCGGAAUUACUGGGCGUAAAGAGCUUGUAGGCGGUUUGUCGCGUCGUCCGUGAAAACUUGGGGCUCAACCCCAAGCUUGCGGGCGAUACGGGCAGACUUGAGUACUUCAGGGGAGACUGGAAUUCCUGGUGUAGCGGUGAAAUGCGCAGAUAUCAGGAGGAACACCGGUGGCGAAGGCGGGUCUCUGGGAAGUAACUGACGCUGAGAAGCGAAAGCGUGGGUAGCGAACAGGAUUAGAUACCCUGGUAGUCCACGCCGUAAACGGUGGGUACUAGGUGUGGGUUUCCUUCCACGGGAUCCGUGCCGUAGCUAACGCAUUAAGUACCCCGCCUGGGGAGUACGGCCGCAAGGCUAAAACUCAAAGGAAUUGACGGGGGCCCGCACAAGCGGCGGAGCAUGUGGAUUAAUUCGAUGCAACGCGAAGAACCUUACCUGGGUUUGACAUACACCGGAAACCUGCAGAGAUGUAGGCCCCCUUGUGGUCGGUGUACAGGUGGUGCAUGGCUGUCGUCAGCUCGUGUCGUGAGAUGUUGGGUUAAGUCCCGCAACGAGCGCAACCCUUGUCCUGUGUUGCCAGCAAGUAAAGUUGGGGACUCGCAGGAGACUGCCGGGGUCAACUCGGAGGAAGGUGGGGACGACGUCAAGUCAUCAUGCCCCUUAUGUCCAGGGCUUCACACAUGCUACAAUGGCCGGUACAGAGGGCUGCGAUACCGUGAGGUGGAGCGAAUCCCUUAAAGCCGGUCUCAGUUCGGAUCGGGGUCUGCAACUCGACCCCGUGAAGUUGGAGUCGCUAGUAAUCGCAGAUCAGCAACGCUGCGGUGAAUACGUUCCCGGGCCUUGUACACACCG